GUGACUUGAUCUGUGAGGUUCUACAACUUCUCUACAGGCUGGACGUUCAGCUGGUUCACUUUAACUGAAUCACCAGGUGGUUAUCAUCUGCUCUCAGACAGCAGCAGAGGAGCAGGAGGAAGAUACAGGAUCAGUUCUGCUGCUGUAGAUCACACAGGAGUUUAUGUGUGCAGAGCAGAGAGAGAGAAAUCAUCUUAUAAAACACAGUACAGCAACAAACAGCUGCUGUGGGUCACCGGUGUUUCUGCUCCAGUCUCUCUGAGGGUCAGUCCCAGCAGAACUCAACACUUCACAUCUGACUCUCUCUCUCUGAGCUGUGAAGACCAGAGUAACUCUACUGUAUGGAGAGUGAAAAGAUACACAGACAGUGAUCUGGAAGAUUGUUCAUCAAUACCUCGAGGAUCACACACAGGAUCUACAUGUACAAUCAGUUACGUCUAUACAUCACUCACUGGAGUGUACUGGUGUGAGUCUGAAUCUGGAGAGAAACAUCAUCCUGUUAAUAUCACUGUACACUCUGAAGUGAUUCUGGAGAGUCCUGUUCAUCCUGUGACUGAAGGAGAUAGUCUGACUCUACGCUGUUUAUAUCAAUACACAACUCCAUCAAACCUCAGAGCUGAUUUCUAUAAAGAUGGAUCACUCAUCCAGAAUCAAAAUACAGAGAUGAUCAUCUCUCCUGUCUCAAAGUCACACGAGGGUUUCUACUCCUGCAAACACCCAGAGAGAGGAGAGUCACCCAAGAGCUGGAUCUCAGUCAGACCUUCUACAGGCUCAGUAUCUGAGGAUCUCAAACCCAUGAUAAUUGGAGUAACAGCAGGACUGACUGCAGUCUUCAUUGUUGUCUUCUUGGUUCUGCUCUGGUGCUACAGAAACAACAAAGGUCUUUUUAAUUUUACAUCAUACAUUUACAGACGCUGACUCUGUUCCUAAUCAGCUGGUUGAGAUGGUUUUCUGCUCUUAACUGGUCUCCCAAACCUGGUAAAGAUGUUUUUUAGACUGAGUUUAGAAGGUUUCUAGGCAGUUUUCAACUGCAUUCUUCAAAAUAAAGGAUCCAGAAGGUCUGCUAUAAAGAGCUUUUUGUUAAUUGAAAAUUUUCCAUUGA